UGCUCGUUGCUGCGAUGAUUCAUGAUAACUCAAAGGAUUGCAUGGUCCUCGUGCCGACGAAUCGUUCAAAUUUUUGCACUAUCAACUUUCGAUGGUAGGAUAGUGGCCUACUAUAAUGGUGACGGAUAACGAAAAAUGAGGGUUCAAUUCCAAAGAGGGAGCCUGAGAAACGGCUAUCACAUCCAAGGAAGGCAGCAGGAGCGCAAAUUACCCAAUCAUGACACGGGGAGAUAGUGACAAUAAAUAACAAUACCGGACUCUCAAAGUCCGAUAAUUGGAAUGAGUACAAUCUAAAUCCCUUAACGAGGAUCAAUUGGAGGGUAAGUUUGGUGCCAACAGCCAUGGUAAUUCCAGCUCCAAUAGCA
rnacentral:rRNA from 1 species